rnacentral:rRNA from 1 species
UACGUAGGCAGCGAGCGUUGUUCGGAGUUACUGGGCGUAAAGGGUGUGUAGGCGGUUGUUUAAGUUUGGUGUGAAAUCUCCCGGCUCAACUGGGAGGGUGCGCCGAAUACUGAAUGACUAGAGUGUGGGAGAGGUGAGUGGAAUUCCUGGUGUAGCGGUGAAAUGCGUAGAUAUCAGGAGGAACACCUGCGGUGUAGACGGCUUACUGGACGGUAACUGACGCUGAGGCACGAAAGCGUGGGUAGCAAACAGG